UAAGCCAUGCGAGUCAACAUAGCAAUAUGUGGCAUACGGCUCAGUAACACGUAGUCAACAUGCCCAGGGGACGUGGAUAACCUCGGGAAACUGAGGAUAAACCGCGAUAGGUCAUCACUUCUGGAAUGGGUAAUGACUUAAAUCUAUAUGGCCCCUGGAUUGGACUGCGGCCGAUCAGGCUGUUGGUGAGGUAAUGGCCCACCAAACCUGUAACCGGUACGGGCUCUGAGAGGAGGAGCCCGGAGAUGGGCACUGAGACAAGGGCCCAGGCCCUAUGGGGCGCAGCAGGCGCGAAACCUCUGCAAUAGGCGAAAGCUUGACAGGGUUACUCUGAGUGAUUUCCGUUAAGGAGAUCUUUUGGCACCUCUAAAAAUGGUGCAGAAUAAGGGGUGGGCAAGUCUGGUGUCAGCCGCCGCGGUAAUACCAGCACCCCGAGUGGUCGGGACGUUUAUUGGGCCUAAAGCAUCCGUAGCCGGUUCUACAAGUCUUCCGUUAAAUCCACCUGCUUAACAGAUGGGCUGCGGAAGAUACUAUAGAGCUAGGAGGCGGGAGAGGCAAGCGGUACUCGAUGGGUAGGGGUAAAAUCCGUUGAUCCAUUGAAGACCACCAGUGGCGAAGGCGGCUUGCCAGAACGCGCUCGACGGUGAGGGAUGAAAGCUGGGGGAGCAAACCGGAUUAGAUACCCGGGUAGUCCCAGCUGUAAACGAUGCAGACUCGGUGAUGAGUUGGCUUAUUGCUAACUCAGUGCCGCAGGGAAGCCGUCAAGUUUGCCGCCUGGGGAGUACGGUCGCAAGACUGAAACUUAAAGGAAUUGGCGGGGGAGCAC
rnacentral:rRNA from 1 species